UUACUGAGUUACCGCUCUACAACCCUUUGUGAACAUACCUAACCGUUGCUUCGGCGGGCAGGGGAAGCCUCUCGCGGGCCUCCCCUCCCGGCGCCGGCCCCACCACGGGGACGGGGCGCCCGCCGGAGGAAACCAAACUCUAUUUACACGACGUCUCUUCUGAGUGGCACAAGCAAAUAAUUAAAACUUUUAACAACGGAUCUCUUGGUUCUGGCAUCGAUGAAGAACGCAGCGAAAUGCGAUAAGUAAUGUGAAUUGCAGAAUUCAGUGAAUCAUCGAAUCUUUGAACGCACAUUGCGCUCGCCAGCAUUCUGGCGAGCAUGCCUGUUCGAGCGUCAUUUCAACCCUCAAGCACCGCUUGGUUUUGGGGCCCCACGGCAGACGUGGGCCCUUAAAGGUAGUGGCGGACCCUCCCGGAGCCUCCUUUGCGUAGUAACUAACGUCUCGCACUGGGAUCCGGAGGGACUCUUGCCGUAAAACCCCCAAAUUCUUUACAGGUUGACCUCGGAUCAGGUAGGAAUACCCGCUGAACUUAAGCAUAUCAAUAA
rnacentral:misc_RNA from 1 species